UACGUAGGGCGCAAGCGUUAUCCGGAAUUAUUGGGCGUAAAGAGCUCGUAGGCGGUUUGUCGCGUCUGCCGUGAAAGUCCGGGGCUCAACUCCGGAUCUGCGGUGGGUACGGGCAGACUAGAGUGAUGUAGGGGGAGACUGGAAUUCCUGGUGUAGCGGUGAAAUGCGCAGAUAUCAGGAGGAACACCGAUGGCGAAGGCAGGUCCUGGCCGCUUGCUGACACUGAGGCACGAAAGCUGGGGGAGCAAACAGG
rnacentral:rRNA from 1 species